rnacentral:rRNA from 1 species
UACGAAGGGGGCUAGCGUUGUUCGGAAUUACUGGGCGUAAAGCGCGCGUAGGCGGGUCAUUAAGUCAGGGGUGAAAUCCCGGGGCUCAACCUCGGAAUUGCCUCUGAUACUGGUGGCCUUGAGUCCGAGAGAGGUGAGUGGAACUCCGAGUGUAGAGGUGAAAUUCGUAGAUAUUCGGAAGAACACCAGUGGCGAAGGCGGCUCACUGGCUCGGUACUGACGCUGAGGUGCGAAAGCGUGGGGAGCAAACAGG